rnacentral:lncRNA from 10 species
CCCUUCCCGGUACAGGACCCCCACCUUCGCUCCUGGGAGCCCCGCUGCACCCCAGGAGUUCCAUUCCAGCCUCCCCAGUGCGAGUGCGGCCGAGCGCUGACUUUUGGGGGCUCCCUCCCCCGUCUCACUGGGUCCCUCUGCGGCUCCCCCGCCCGCUGUCCCGGUUCAGACGUGGCUGCACCCCGGAGGGGGGCGCCGGCCGAGACCUGAGACGUGGCGCUCCCUCUCUGCCGGCCUCGGCUUCAGUGCUUGAAUUUCAGCCACAUCCCUAAGCUGCCAUCUCAGACCAGAGGAACAGGGAGGGGGGCUUUCUGGAAAGAACAUCACCUGGAAGAAAUCAGGACAUGACUGUGGGCCAUGAGUGACCUUCAAAGGAAAGCCGGGUAUCUGUGGUCUUUAAGAUGUGAUCCAUGACAUUUAAAAACUGAAGAAAUGGAAAGAUCAUCUGAUCAGGCCCAUCAGUCUUUUUCCUAAUGCUAAACAUUGGUACAAAGACGUGAAGUUUGAUGUCUCACUAAGAUUGCCUAGGGCUGCUUUAUUGCUCACCUACUUCAAAGUAUUGGGAAAACAUGAUUAUGGGUACAGGUGAUGCUGUGUUGCCCCCAGACAGGUUUCUUUUGUCAGGUUCUUUUGAUGGAUUAGGAACCUACAAGUGGGGAGAUUUUAGGGAAAUAGCCCCUCCACUUGGAUUUCACCAAAACGUCUUUAGGGUUCUCUUACCCCAAGAAACACGCAUUCCUCUUUAGUGUGGCAGCCCACUCUAUUGGCAAAGUUAAGCAGACCAGUUUUACUAAAAAGGAGCCACCCAGAAACUUAGACAGAAAAUACUUGAGGCACAGAUGAGAAUGAGCACAAAUGUGCAUAGCAAGUGCAGUUUCCUGGCCCUUAAACUGAAGGGCCAGGUCAGUCUGCUCCUCCAGGCACAGCCUGGGACCCCAUCAUGUGCCCCACUCUGCAGUCUGAGCUUCCACUCAAGUCCACCAGGGCCUGCCUCACAUAUAUAUACAAGACCCAAUGUCAGAGUCUGCCUCUGCCCAUGUCUGGUCAGAGGGUUGCACUUUGCCACUGCUACAUGUUCCCAGAGGUUGGCACAGCAUGACCUGGACCUCACCUAACCCAGGCAAACUCUGCUCAUCUUCGAGCUCUCUGGAACCCAUUUCUCAAGGGAGAACCACAUUCCCCCACCUCACAGCCAAGUUCAAGGAAGCAGCCUGGCUAAAGCAAUGACUCAAGGAUACCAGAAGCAGAGCACGCAUUUAAGAAGAUGCGCUGACUCGCAGGAGCAGCUGACUCUUCUUAAGAAGAGUUUACUGAUUCUUCUUUCAGUACGGGCCUUUUAAUAAGAUAUUGUAUUUUACUUCAGCUAUGGGUGCAGACAAUUAAAGGAUUCUAGAAAUCUGAAAGUGUUUUGCCUUGUCCUCUUGGUUAAAUUUCUGGAUAUAUUGUCUAGCAACUCAAUUUGCUUAAACAAAAUUGUUGUGUCAAAAAAGCCCAAGUCAUCUUUUAUAAGUGUGGUCUGGGGAGAAGAAAAAAAUGCUAAGUUUAAAAGAUUUUUGGAAUAUCUGAAGAAAAUACAGAUAGCUUGUAAUGGAGAUGAAGCCUCUGGAUGGUUUCCAGGGUGUUAUUUUCCGACAUUGAGUCUUGUAUAUAUCUUGAAUGUCUAUAAGCAAAGAAUGGCUAUACUGUUUUUAAAAAGAUAUGUUUUAUACUUAUUAACCAAUGUCCUCUCUAUUCCUCUGCCUUUGAAAAUAGAGCUUUGGGGGAAAAUAAGUACCUUUGGAAAUAUGUUUUCAAAAAUAAUAUUCAUCCUGCUUAGAUUUAGAAGCACAGAUUACUCUGCCUUAGUUUACUUCAUUAUUUACCAGAGAGAUUAACUCAAAAUAACCUUGAGUUAAUGAAAAGAUGAUUAAGUGAAAUUAAACCCAAAAGUAAAAUGUCUCCUGAGCAAAUCCAUAGAAAGAAGAGCCAUCAAGCAUCCAGUGGGCCCUCCAUCAAGUGUUGUUUCAGGCCCUCCUUUCCAAUCCAUUCUCAUUACCAUAAUUCACAGUGUCAGUGUCUCUCACCCAAACUACCAACACCUCCUCUUACCGUCUUCCUGACUCCAGUUCCAGUGAUCAUUCCCCAAUCAGCAGCAUCACACCCACCCCUCACACAUACAUCAUCAUCAUCAUCAUUACCGUUAAUAACACAGACCUGAUUUUAUUUGAAUUGGAAACUACUUGGCUUUAAAAAAAAAAACUCCCUUGCAGCUAGGUGAGGCCAUAGAACUCAGCCAUAACCAAUAAGAUAUAAGUGGAGUAGGAUUCUAAGAUAGGCUUUGUAAAAGGGGGCAGACAACUAAAUGGGCAUGGUCUUUCCUGUCCUUCUCUCCUACUUCUGGAUUCCCACCUGGAAGUUGAUUGUGAUGGUGGAAAUACCAGGCACUGGUCGGGUGCGAUGGCUCAUGCCUGUAAUCCCAGCACUUUGGGAGGUCAAGGUGAGUAGAUCACCUGAGGUCAGGGGUUUGAGACCAGCCUGACCAACAUGGUGAAACCCUGUCUCUACUAAAAAUACAAAAAUUAGCCUGGCAUGGUGACACGCACCUGUAGUCCCAGCUACUCGGGAGGCUGAGGCAGGAGAAUCUCUUGAACUGGGGAGGAGGAGGUUGCAAUGAGCCAAGAUCAGGCACCUGCACUCCAGCCUGGGUGACAGAGUGAGACUCUGUCCCAAAACAAACAAACAAAAAAUGAAAUGCCAGGCACCAGUUUAGGCUCUUGAGGAUAUAAGUUAUGAGCCAAGGAUGAUGGUGUAAAAAGUAGCCUAAAUCCCUGGUGACUCCAUGGAGCCCCUGCCUCAGCCCUGAAUUACCUAACCCCAGACUUCAUGACAUGAGAAAGAAAGAACUUUCUGUUUUGCUUUAGCCAUCAUUGUUUCUGUUCUGUUUUUAGCAGGAGAAUGUGAUUCCUUACCAAUGGAGGGGAUUCAGUUCCUCCAGGUCUGGCAACCCUGCAGCUUGGGUCCAGUUUCAUCCCUCAACAUUGCGGCCUAUGCAGCCAGUGCCCCCUCUCCCUUUCUCCCACCCAGCUUUCCCAUCUGCAACCAAGCUUGUUGCACACCAUGUGCCAGACGCAUGGCUGCACAUUCAAAAUAGAAUGAAAAGACACACAGGCGAUCCCUGCCCUUUCAGAAGUUACAGCUUACCGAGUUACAGCUUACUGAGUUAUGGAACCCACAAGUAUGUAAUUCUAAACCCUGAUAAAUGCUAUGAAGGACAAAUAUAUGGGUGUCUGGUUUAGUAUGGGGAAUGGGAGAGGCAUCACUGAAAAAGUAGCAUUUGAGAUGAGAUUUGAAGGAUGAGUAGAGACCAGCAAGAAAGUGGGAAAGAUAAAGGAUAAGAGUAAGACUCCAGAAAAGGGUGGAAAUGGAGAUUAACUUUGGAAUUUAAUUCAAACACACUUGUUAACAUAUCAAGGAUUGUAAUAGUAAUUGCAAAUGAAUAGCAAUAAAUACUGUCAUAGUCCAUUUCAGGCUGCUAUAACAAAAAACCUUAAACUCAGUAAUAUAUAAACAAUAGAAAUUUAUUUAUAACAGUUCUGGAGGCUGGAAAGUUCAAGAUCAAGGCACCAGCAGGUUCAAUGUCUGGUGAAGGCACAGUCUCUGCUUCCAAGAUGGUGCCUUGUUUCUGCAUCCUCUAGAGAAGAGGAACACUGUGUCCACACAUGGCUGAAGAGCUGGAUGGAGAAAAGGGCCCAGCUAAUUCCCUCCAGCCCUUUUAUAAGCCACUAAUCCCACUUAUGAGGUCAGAGCCCUUAUAGCCUAAUCACCUCCAAAAGGCCCCACCUCAUAAUAUUGUUGGAUUGAGGAUUAACUUUCAA